CUUUUAAAGGAUCAAAGUUUAAUC
rnacentral:tRNA from 1 species